rnacentral:rRNA from 1 species
AUGAAUCUUCUAGCCUGGAACUGUCGAGGCUUGGGGUUGGACUCGACAGUCGGCGAAUUACGUGACUCGAUACGGUCCCACAACCCGGCGGUGGUUUUCUUAAGUGAAACAAAAAAGAAAUCAAGGGCUAUGGAUAGACUCAAAUGGAGUUUGGGUUUUUCAAAUGGAGUGGCGGUGGAUUGUGUAGGCCGGAGUGGUGGCCUAGCUCUCUGGUGGAGGGAUCAAGUCAAAGUCAAGGUGAGGCCUUGGUGCCAAUAUUACAUUGAUGCGGAGGUUGAAUGUGAGGGAAAGCUUUGUAGGAUCACUGGAUUCUAUGGAGAACCACGGACAGAACUCAGAAAGAAAUCAUGGGAUGCGAUACGAUACCUGCGGGCACAAGAUGAUCUCCCAUGGAUAUGUUUGGGUGAUUUUAAUGAGGCUCUGUUUUAG